rnacentral:rRNA from 1 species
CAUGGUUGUCGUCAGGCUCGUGUCGUGAGAUGUUGGGUUAAGUCCCGCAACGAGCGCAACCCUUGUGUUUAGUUGCAAACAGGUCAAGCUGUGCACUCUAGACAGACUGCCGUGGACAACACGGAGGAAGGUGGGGAUGACGUCAAAUCAUCAUGCCCCUUAUGAUCUGGGCUACACACGUGCUACAAUGGCCGGUACAACGGGCAGCGAAGGAGCGAUCCGGAGCGAAUCCUAAAAAGCCGGUCCCAGUUCGGAUUGCAGGCUGAAACUCGCCUACAUGAAGUUGGAGUUGCUAGUAAUCGCGAAUCAGAAUGUCGCGGUGAAUGCGUUCCCGGGUCUU